rnacentral:rRNA from 1 species
GAUGAACGCUAGCUACAGGCUUAACACAUGCAAGUCGAGGGGCAGCGCAGUGUAGCAAUACAUGGGCGGCGACCGGCGCACGGGUGCGUAACGCGUAUCCAACCUUCCCGUUACUCAGGGAUAGCCUUCCGAAAGGGAGAUUAAUACCUGAUGGUGUUCAAAUUCCGCAUGUUAUUUGAACUAAAGAUUUAUCGGUAACGGAUGGGGAUGCGUGACAUUAGAUAGUAGGCGGGGUAACGGCCCACCUAGUCUACGAUGUCUAGGGGUUCUGAGAGGAAGGUCCCCCACACUGGAACUGAGACACGGUCCAGACUCCUACGGGAGGCAGCAGUGAGGAAUAUUGGUCAAUGGUCGGAAGACUGAACCAGCCAAGUAGCGUGAAGGAUGAAGGUUCUAUGGAUUGUAAACUUCUUUUAUACGGGAAUAAAACCACCUACGUGUAGGUGCUUGUAUGUACCGUAUGAAUAAGCAUCGGCUAACUCCGUGCCAGCCGCCGCCGUAAUAC